rnacentral:rRNA from 1 species
GGCUCAGGACGAACGCUGGCGGCGUGCCUAAUACAUGCAAGUAGAACGCUGAAGAGAGGAGCUUGCUCUUCUUGGAUGAGUUGCGAACGGGUGAGUAACGCGUAGGUAACCUGCCUUGUAGCGGGGGAUAACUAUUGGAAACGAUAGCUAAUACCGCAUAACAAUGGAUGACACAUGUCAUUUAUUUGAAAGGGGCAAUUGCUCCACUACAAGAUGGACCUGCGUUGUAUUAGCUAGUAGGUGAGGUAAUGGCUCACCUAGGCGACGAUACAUAGCCGACCUGAGAGGGUGAUCGGCCACACUGGGACUGAGACACGGCCCAGACUCCUACGGGAGGCAGCAGUAGGGAAUCUUCGGCAAUGGGGGCAACCCUGACCGAGCAACGCCGCGUGAGUGAAGAAGGUUUUCGGAUCGUAAAGCUCUGUUGUAAGUCAAGAACGGGUGUGAGAGUGGAAAGUUCACACUGUGACGGUAGCUUACCAGAAAGGGACGGCUAACUACGUGCCAGCAGCCGCGGUAAUACGUAGGUCCCGAGCGUUGUCCGGAUUUAUUGGGCGUAAAGCGAGCGCAGGCGGUUUGAUAAGUCUGAAGUUAAAGGC